CCUUCGUACCUUCACUCGGAUCGUCCGACACGUUCCUGUCGGUGAGAGGACACAUCA
rfam:Rhodococcus sp. MEB064 contig_58, whole genome shotgun sequence.